GAUGAACGCUGGCGGCGUGCCUAAUACAUGCAAGUCGAGCGAACGGACGAGAAGCUUGCUUCUCUGAUGUUAGCGGCGGACGGGAGAGUAACACGUGGAUAACCUACCUAUAAGACUGGGAUAACUUCGGGAAACCGGAGCUAAUACCGGAUAAUAUUUUGAACCGCAUGGUUCAAAAGUAAAAGUCGGUCUUUCUGUCACUUAUAGAUUGAUCCGCGCUGCAUUAGCUAGUUGGUAAGGUAACGGCUUACCAAGGCAACGAUGCAUAGCCGACCUGAGAGGGUGAUCGGCCACACGGGAAGUGAGACACGGUCCAGACUCCUACGGGAGGAAGCAGUAGGGAAUCUUCCGCAAUGGGGGAAAGCCUGACGGAGCAAAGCCGCGUGAGUGAUGAAGGUCUUCGGAUCGUAAAACUCUGUUAUUAGGGAAGAACAGAUGUGUAAGUAACUGUGAACAUCUUGACGGUACCGAAUCAGAAAGCCGCGGCUAACUACGUG
rnacentral:rRNA from 1 species